UAUAAUUAAUUAAUUAUCUUUGAAGUGUUGUUUUUAUUCCGCUAUUCUAUUAUCAGAGAGAGCAUCAGAAGUGUUCCGGUUGCACUCAUAAAAUUAAAAAGCUUAAUGAAAUCCAAUAUUGGAAACUAAUUAAAACAAUAAUUAAAAUGAUGCACGGUCAAUUUACAAACGUUCUAUGGUACUUGGAAUUCUUUGCUUUUGUGGGAGCCUUAUCAGUUUUUUUCUGCUUCAUAUUUUAUUUGGCAAAAAUUAAUUACGUGACAUAUAAUAUCCAGUACGAUAUGCGGCAAAAGUACAUGGCUGAUGAUACCUGGUUGAUUCAAAGUUAGUACAAUGCUGAGCCCGGAAACGAAAGUUAACAUUUUACUACAUCAAAAGCUGGCAGCGAGACCCAAAACUAAGAUAAAAGAACCUCCACAGAGACCAGUGUGCUGUGACCUUGGCUGCAUUUGGUUCUUUCGUCUGAUGGGCAGCAUUAUAACUAUAGCCUUAUGCUAUUACUUCGCUUACACUUUCAUAUCUGACACUAAACUUAA